rnacentral:misc_RNA from 1 species
UCCUGGUUAACCCAGGCAGUCUCGUUAGAGUUCCCACCUUAAAUGUUGGCAACUAACGAUAAGGGUUGCGCUCGUUGCGGGACUUAACCCAACACCUCACGGCACGAGCUGACGACAGCCAUGCAGCACCUGUGCAGAAGUCCCGAAGGAGGGCGCCAUUUCUGGCGCUUACUUCUGCAUGUCAAGUCUGGGUAAGGUUCUUCGCGUUGCAUCGAAUUAAACCACAUGCUCCACUGCUUGUGCGGGUCCCCGUCAAUUCUUUUGAGUUUCACCCUUGCGAGCGUACUCCCCAGGCGGCAUACUUAACGCGUUUGCUACGGCACAGUCGGGGUUGAGUCCGACUACACCAAGUAUGCAUAGUUUACGGCUAGGACUAC